GUGGGGAAUAUUGGACAAUGGGCGAAAGCCUGAUCCAGCCAUGCCGCGUGUGUGAAGAAGGUCUUCGGAUUGUAAAGCACUUUAAGUUGGGAGGAAGGGCAGUAAGUUAAUACCUUGCUGUUUUGACGUUACCGACAGAAUAAGCCCCGGCUAACUUCGUGCCAGCAGCCGCGGUAAUACGAAGGGGGCGAGCGUUAAUCGGAAUUACUGGGCGUAAAGCGCGCGUAGGUGGUUUUGUAAGUUGGAGGUGAAAUCCCCGGGCUCAACCUGGGAACUGCCUCCAAAACUGCAUGACUAGAGUACGGUAGAGGGUAGUGGAAUUUCCUGUGUAGCGGUGAAAUGCGUAGAUAUAGGAAGGAACACCAGUGGCGAAGGCGACUACCUGGACUGAUACUGACACUGAGGUGCGAAAGCGUGGGGAGCAAACAGGAUUAGAAACCCCGGUAGUCC
rnacentral:rRNA from 1 species